rnacentral:rRNA from 1 species
ACUCAAAUGAAUUGACGGGGGCCCGCACAAGCAGCGGAGCGUGUGGUUUAAUUCGAGGCUACACGAAGAACCUUACCUGGGUUUGACAUGCUGGUAGUAGGGAACUGAAAAGGGACCGACCGCAAGGAGCCAGCACAGGUGCUGCAUGGCUGUCGUCAGCUCGUGCCGUGAGGUGUUCGGUUAAGUCCGCAAACGAGCGCAACCCUCGGCGUUAGUUACACGUGUCUAACGCGACUGCCCGUGAGAAACGGGAGGAAGGUGGGGAUGACGUCAAGUCAGCAUGGCCUUUAUAUCCAGGGCUACACACACGCUACAAUGGGGGGUACAGCAGGUUGCGAAACCGCGAGGUCAAGCCAAUCCUGAAAGCCUCUCGUAGUUCGGAUUGCAGGCUGCAACUCGCCUGCAUGAAGUCGGAGUUGCUAGUAACCGCGCGUCAGCUAUAGCGCGGUGAAUACGUUCCCGGGCCUUGCACACACCGCCCGU